AAAAUGCGAUAAGUAAUGUGAAUUGCAGAAUUCAGUGAAUCAUCGAAUCUUUGAACGCACAUUGCGCCCGCCAGUAUUCUGGCGGGCAUGCCUGUCUGAGCGUCAUUUCAACCCUCGGGACCCCGUUCGCGGGACCCGGCGUUGGGGAUCAGCCCGAAGCCCCCCGGGGCGGGCGGCUGGCCCCGAAAUCUAGUGGCGGUCCCCCCAGCGACCUCCUCUGCGCAGUAGUAACUCACCUCGCAGCUGGACAGCGGGAGGGCCACGCCGUAAAACCCCCAACUUCUCAAAGGUUGACCUCAGGUCAGGUAGAAAUACCCGCUGAACUUAGGC
rnacentral:misc_RNA from 1 species